rnacentral:rRNA from 1 species
ACACUCCUACGGGAGGCAGCAGUGGGGAAUAUUGCACAAUGGGCGCAAGCCUGAUGCAGCCAUGCCGCGUGUAUGAAGAAGGCCUUCGGGUUGUAAAGUACUUUCAGCGGGGAGGAAGGCAAUACGGUUAAUAACCGUGUUGAUUGACGUUACCCGCAGAAGAAGCACCGGCUAACUCCGUGCCAGCAGCCGCGGUAAUACGGAGGGUGCAAGCGUUAAUCGGAAUUACUGGGCGUAAAGCGCACGCAGGCGGUCUGUCAAGUCGGAUGUGAAAUCCCCGGGCUCAACCUGGGAACUGCAUUCGAAACUGGCAGGCUUGAGUCUUGUAGAGGGGGGUAGAAUUCCAGGUGUAGCGGUGAAAUGCGUAGAGAUCUGGAGGAAUACCGGUGGCGAAGGCGGCCCCCUGGACAAAGACUGACGCUCAGGUGCGAAAGCGUGGGGAGCAAACAGGAUUAGAAACCCUAGUAGUCCCAUGA